GAUGGAAUUGAUGAUUAAAUACUGUAGAAUGAGAGUGAAAGCUCAGUCACGUGAUAUCACCUCAUGAAAUAUGCAAAGAUGAGUAAAUGUGAUUGGCUGGACAGAACAAAAGCCACUAUCAGCGCUUAAUAAUGAAUGAAUGGAGAGGGUUAAAGUUCAGGACUGGUAAUGGGUUGUGGCUCUAGUGCCAAUCAUUAUGGUCUGACAACACCGAUCAGGCAUAACAUUAUGACCACUGACAGGUGAAGAGAUAAUCAGUGUUAUCAGAGUCACGGAAUCUAGAUAAGGUUUGUCCAAGAAGUUGCUAGAUUUGUCGCUAGGCUUUUGGAAAAAAAAAAAAAAAAAGUCUCAAAAGGGGCAGGGAAGUCGCUAAAUCUAGCAUCAAAGGCCUUGUCCCAAAUGGCACCCUAAACACUCACGGCCUUCCUACGAGUCCGCACUUUCGUGACGUAACGUCGCUUUGACUGUCGGGAAGAAGUCUGCUGCGGAGCUCGCACCAGUGCGGGCUCAGCAAAAGUGCGCAUCAAGGGCCAACAAUAACCAACUGCAGAACCGCAGAACCAUACGUCAUGACAGUCUGAGGACGACAGCGCCAGACUAACAGCCUGAGGCCGGAAGUGGGCGGAGUAACAGUCUCAUGCCGGAUGUGGGCGGAGUUAGCGACAAACAAACAAACAAUGGCGGAAGAAGAGAACACGGUAAAAAAGUUUCUUUGUGUUGUGCUUUUAAUCGAUCACGUUUAUUUGUUGUGUAUUUAAUCGAUCGUUAACACUUAACAUGACUCAAAUAUUUUGUAAAUGGGCUUCAAAGUCACUUUAUCGCGUCUUUUGAUAUUUUACAAAUCGUCUCACAUUGCUUGCGCCCAGGUGAAAAAAUACUAUAGUAAUUUAUAGUAAAUACUAUAGUGUUUUUGAACCAUACUAUAGUACUAUAAGUACUUGAAUUAAUUUAUUGUGGUAAUUCUAUAGUUGCUGUGAUAAUAUAACAACUAUAGUAAUAUAAACAAAUUACCCAAUAUUGUACUAAGUUUUCUACAACUUUAGGGUAUAUUAUACUACAAUAUACACUACAGUUUACUGUAGUAAAAACUAAAGUAUACUACAGUAUUUAUAACAGUUUAUCAGUUCACUCUAGUUAAUACUACAGUAUUCUGUAGCAUUCAUUAACAAAGUGUUGUAAAUACUAUAAUAUAUACAGUAGUAUUUUUUCACCUGGUUGGUUAUAUAUUCAUGGUUUGUGAUUUUACUUUGUUGUUGGUGCUGUAUUUUAUUUCAUUGGUUACAUUUUACAAUACUGACCAAUGUUUUUGUGGAUUUUUAGAGGCAUAUUAGUAUUGGGAGAUGCUCUGCUUUACUUCAUUUACAGCGAUGCAAGAUGUACUGCAACAAUUUCCACUGCCCAGUGUUCUUAAACCGACCGGACGGCACAAGUUGAAUGCACACCUUCAAAUUCACUUCAAAAAGGCGUUUCUUUUGUAUUCUGAAUUUAAAAUGUUGUUUUUGCAAUGCAUAAAUUGACAAGCAGAAUCACCCCAGGACAGUGGAAGCUGAUCAAAAACAAGAAUGUUCCGUUGACCGGCUCUAUUGACUGUGGGAUCUUCAUGUUAAUGGAGCCACGGAUCACAGAAGACCUCUGCGCUGCACUUGAAUGGCUUCAUAACAACCAAAAGUCUUCAAGUGUUUAGUGGAAGAGCUGUGCUUUCUGAUAUUGAAAGAGGAAGACCAGGGAAAAGCCCUUCUUCAACUUUCACAGGCUGAAACAGAUGAUGACAGACAACUGGCCAAAGAGCCUGUAGUGUUUUGCUUACAAAUUAAGGAUGAUAUGGACAUUUUAUGGACAAAAAGAGUCUUGAAAUUAAUUGCAUGUUUAUGGAGAUUUGAUUUUUUGAUUUUUUGAUUUUUUUUUUUUAAGAUUUAAUUUGUCAUUAUGUACCUGCUGUUCAAUUUACACUCUUUGGUUUGAUUUUGUAAUUUUUUAGAGCAAAGCACAGCUAGUAGCUAUAUACUGCUUUUGCUACUUAGGGGAAAAGUACAUUUUAUUUUGUUUUUGGGUUUGAUGGAUCUGAAUUUGCUUAAUUCAUGCAAUCUAGUGUACAACUGUGUAAUGUGUAUUAUAUAUUAUGAAAACAAUGGUUCAUUCUGAAAUGCUUGAGUAAAAUAUACAUUUUAUGACAAAUUAAUAAAUGUUUUUAGUGUUUAAGCUUUGUGUUCAAUUUAUAUUCAGUUAAUCAUUUAAGACAAAACAAAUUGAUGAACUUUUA